rnacentral:rRNA from 1 species
AUUGAACGCUGGCGGCAUGCCUUACACAUGCAAGUCGAACGGUAACAGGUCUUCGGAUGCUGACGAGUGGCGAACGGGUGAGUAAUACAUCGGAACGUGCCUAGUAGUGGGGGAUAACUACUCGAAAGAGUGGCUAAUACCGCAUGAGAUCUACGGAUGAAAGCAGGGGAUCGCAAGACCUUGUGCUACUAGAGCGGCCGAUGGCAGAUUAGGUAGUUGGUGGGAUAAAAGCUUACCAAGCCGACGAUCUGUAGCUGGUCUGAGAGGACGAUAAGCCACACGGGGACUGAGACACGGCCCAGACUCCUACGGGAGGCAGCAGUGGGGAAUUUUGGACAAUGGGCGAAAGCCUGAUCCAGCAAUGCCGCGUGCAGGAUGAAGGCCUUCGGGUUGUAAACUGCUUUUGUACGGAACGAAAAGCCCCGGGUUAAUACCCUGGGGUCAUGACGGUACCGUAAGAAUAAGCACCGGCUAACUACGUGCCAGCCGCCGCAGUAA